AGUUACGGGGUUUUAUCGGACACAUGAUUACACAGAUAUCGUGUUGAUUGAAAUUGCCAUCUUCACUUACACAUCUCUGACGUUACACACUUCUAGAUUACGCAUGCGCGUGUGUAAAAAAAGCGGAAGUCCAAUUGUUUCGAAGCGGGAUACAAUAAACAUGUGGAAAAGAAGACACAGAGGAAAGCCUGGACACAGAAUCCUAGAUUCUUUUGAUAAAGAUGAUUUUUAUGCUGAAAACGAAUGUUCAAGGCAACCAGAAUCUUGAGUCCAUCCUGAACAUAGAGACAACACAGAUAUUAGCAAAGCUGGAUAAUGUUGCUAGAGGAUUAGUUAAUGCAACUCAGCAAGGACUAGUGAUGGAUAUGUUCCAGGUUCCACAGCUAGGAGAAUGUCAGGAAGAAAAGCCUCAUCAUUAAAAGUGUUACAGCAUCUUCAGAUGGUGAAAUGUCAAGCAAUAAGUGCAUUCCAAGCCCUCAAGAAGUUGUGUCAAGCCCUAGUCGUAAAGGCAUUCCAGAUCUAAAGAAUAGACAUGGACCUAUAUGUAUGGUUUUAUUGAUGAAAGUGUGCCAUCCCCAGUGACAAAGGUGAACCAGUUUCUGAAAAUGGAGAUGAAGCUUGACCCUGGAAAGAAAGCAUGCCUGUCUAGGGACUGAGAUCUGCAAGUUCUAAAUGAAGGAGAUUUGCCAGGUACUGAUAUUACUGAUAUCCUACAUGUGGGUCCCAUCUGCUCAAGGUUCCAAUAGUGAAAAAUCUUGGUUAGGAAUGAAGUGUCAUCAGAGGCACUAAAGGAAACUGAUGGCAUUGUUUUUGUGUGGGUGAUGAGAAUAAGAGUGAGGAGGAGAUAGAUGACAGUCAAGACAAUCAGGAUGUCCAUAUUGUCACUCCAGGGAAGAAGAAGUCAUUUCUGAUCCUAGAUCUACUGUGGAAGAUUCUACAUGCAAGUGACAAGAGAUACAAAAAAAUCCCAAGGACAUCAUGAGAAAUGAAUUUAAUCAACAGACAUUGUGGAAAAGAUUUCCUAAAAAAUUGUAAUAGGACCUUAGAGAAGUGUAAAACACCAAGGAUAUAAUCUUGUUAAAAAACAGAGAAAAUCUAUAUUAACAUUCUACUUUCAAUUGAUAUACUUUGAGAAAUAUGAUAAACACUGUGUUUUAAAGCCACAGUAAUGGAGGACAUUGAAUUCUUUGUAGCAGUUUUAUCAUUAGGCCAUUCCAAUUUUUUUCUGUGUUUAGUGUCUGCGGAUGGAUUGGUUUUGAGGUCAUGCAAUCAAGAACAAACACAAAAUGAAAUUGACAAAUACAAAUCUUUGACAAGCAAUUUACUCUUCUGGGAUCAGCAUCUCUCUUUUUUAAAAGUGAUGUGCUCAAGUUUUUUUUUUUGUUUCAUUAAACUAGUAGUUGUAGUAGUUUAAUUUAGUUAUAAUAUGAGGAAAAUUCUCAAAUGAUGCUAAAGGAGUUCUAGAACUUUGCGUAAAAUGUUGUUUUUUCCCCUUUUGGUUUGUAAUUUUUUUUUUGGAAGGAAAGAAAUGUUUUGAAAUUUAGGUUGGAUGCUAAACAAAGAAAAAACUUGGAAUGGCCUCAUAUAACCUACAUGGACUAAACUUGCAUAGAUGAAGAGUGCUUAAGAAGCUGUGCAUGAUGUAUGUAGGAAAUGAUUUUGAGGUAUUAAAUAUUCUAUGCAAAAGGAAAUUUUCUCAAUUUAGUUAAUUUUUGCAAAAAAAUGUUUAAGCAUCACAUACAUAACCUUUCUGAAAGUGAAAAAAAUAUUCAUCCUAAUUAAGUUUGAUCAAGUCUUUAGUUCAAGUUAUAUGCAAAAAUACAUAUUUCAUUCUUUAUAAACACUAUGAUAUUGCUGUACUUUUCUUAUGUGAAUUGAAUAUAAAGAGUUGGAUUUGAUGCAUAAAUAGUCCUGUUCUUAUACUAGUUCUUUGAGAAUCACCCCCUGUCCCAUUUUUAACAUCAAAAUAAAGUAUGGAGUAUUUCUCAUUUCCUUUAACAAAGAUUUUUUAUAGAGUCCUGAGAUUGGAAGUUAAACAAGAUUUCAAAGUUCUUGAAAUAUUAAAAAUGCAAAAAAAGGAAUUUUCAGGAUAUGAGAGAAUUCAAAUGGGACCUUGAGACUUGGUCAGUUAAUUGGUAUAUAUAUGGAGGGCCAUUUUAUGGAUAAAGUGAACCUAGCUCUUUUCACCAUUUCGAUAGAUUACACUGUCACCAAGUAUCAAAAUGAUAAACUGAUGCAUUGGUUACCAAAACUGAGUACUUUUGAUUUCUCACAAUUCACAGGGCCAAAAAAAAAGCUUUCAGUGAACCUUGCUCUUUAUUACAUUUAUGUCUGUAAACUUUUACCAUGUGCAAACGUCCUUUGUUUCUAGAAAUGCCAUUAUCUUCUGUAAGUCCCCAAACUUUUAACAUGUGUAUAAGGUCCUCAGUCUCUAUAAAUACCU